GACGAACGCUGGCGGCGUGCCUAAUACAUGCAAGUAGAACGCUGAGGCUUGGUGCUUGCACCGAGCGGAUGAGUUGCGAACGGGUGAGUAACGCGUGUGUAACCUGCCUGGUAGCGGGGGAUAACUAUGGGAAACGAGAGCUAAUACCGCAUAAGAGUCGAUGUUGCAUGACAGUUUCGUAAAAGGUGCAAUUUCAUGACUACCAGAUGGACCUGCGUGGUAUUAGCUAGGUGGUGCGGUAACGGAGCACCAAGGCAACGAUACAUAGCCGACCUGAGAGGGUGAUCGGCCACACUGGGACUGAGACACGGCCCAGACUCCUACGGGAGGCAGCAGUAGGGAAUCUUCGGCCAUGGACGGAAGUCUGACCGAGCAACGCCGCGUGCGUGAAGAACGUUUUCGGGUCGUAAAGCUCUGUUGUCAGAGAAGAACGAGUGUGAGAGUGGAAAGUUCAGACUGUGACGGUAUCUUACAAGAAAGCGACGGCUAACUACGUG
rnacentral:rRNA from 1 species